rnacentral:lncRNA from 1 species
AUAAGUGUGAUUGUGUCACUCCCAUAUUUAAACCUUUUCAGUGCUGUUUCCUUGACCUUGAAGUAAAUUCUGAAACACUCUGAGGUACAACUUAUCCAUCAUGUGAUCUUAUCUAAGUUCCUCUUGGAAGGGGAUCCCUUCAUUCUCUGCAUUCAGAUUCUACCAACAAGGCAAUCUGUUUUUAUAGUAAUGAGAAUCCAACCCAAGCCUUGCCCCUGGCAGACAAGAGCACUAACAUCAAGUUAUAGUCCAAC